AUGGGAUUCCUUCUUGGGGUUGUUCGGUCGCUUCGCCAACGUCGCGAGGCCGCAGAUUCCGAGAAUAGUAGUUUCAAAGAAGCAACUCAUAAGGAUUUGUCUUCAUCUUUUGUUGAGCAUCAGAUGCACAUUGCUCAACUCUCCGAAAGAUUCUUUCACUCAAAAAUUGAUAUCGUUGAACCAAAAAAAUCGAAGGGAUUGACAAAACAAGAAGCUGCUCAAAAACUGAAAACCGACGGAAAAAAUGCUCUUUCGCCACCAAAAACUAUCAGCAAUAUGGAGCUGUUUGUUCGUCAAUUUAAAAAUCUUCUUUGGGUUCUCAUGUUCGGUGCAGCUGCGCUUUGUUUCUUGACCUACAUCUAUGAUCCAACCGAUGCUUUGAAUCUGUACGUCGGAAUUUUCAUCGUUGCCAUCGUUUUCAUCAUGUGUGUUGUCUCGUUCUUUGAAGAGAAAAAGGGAGUCGAAGUGGUUCGAGCUUUCCAAACACUUAUGCCAACUUCUUGUCAAGUGAUAAGAGAUGGAAAAGAGAUACUCUUAAAUCCCGAGGAGCUUGUCGUGGGUGAUGUUGUAGUUGUUCGUUCUGGUUGCAAAGUCCCAGCUGAUAUGAGAAUCAUCGCUUGCACUGAUUUCUUCUUAGAAACAAGUUCAAUCACCGGAGAAGCUGAACCAUUGGAGUUCCAUUCCAAAACUGCCGACGCUAAAACUUCAAUUUUCGAAUCUUACAACAUUGCUUUUAAUGGAUCAUUCUGUGUUGACGGAGAGGGAUAUGGUAUCAUCAUUCGUACCGGAGAGAACACUGUUAUCGGACAAAUUGCUUCUUUGACUCUUGGACAAAAGGACAAGAAAUGCAAAUUUGAGACUGAAAUCGAGCGUUUCGUUCAAUUUAUCACUGUUAUGGCAAUCACCAUGGCAACUGUCAUCUUCACAAUUGGACUUCUUGUUAAUGGGGGAAAUGACGUCAUUCGUCUCUUUGUUACUGGUUUCCUUAUGGUCAUUAUUGCCAAUGUUCCACAGGGAUUGCCAACUACCGUUACCACUGAACUGACCAUCAUCGCCAGAAGAAUGGCAAAAAAGAAUGUGUUCUUGAAAAAAUUGGAAAAAAUCGACAGUGUUGGAGCAACAACGCUUAUUGCUUCAGAUAAGACCGGAACUUUGACCAAGAAUUGCAUGACUGUCACCGAUUUGUGGUACAAUAACUCAUAUAACAGCGCAAGACCAGAGAACCAAGGACGUACCACAAAGAAGAGAAAUCUGAAUGCAAUCAACACAAUUGGAUGGUACGACGCUCCACUUAAAGAUAUUUUAAGUGUGAUCUGUGUCUGUAACAAAGCGAGAAUCGAAAAUAACUUAACGACCAAAGUUCGUCCACCAAGAGUUGACUCCGAGUUGGAUUUGACUGUCUACAAGUCUCAACCAGUAAAGGAAAUGUUGAUUUCGGGAAAUCCAUCUGAAGUUGCACUCUUGAGAUACGCUUCGGGAAUGUUGGACGCAAUGGAGGUCAGAGACAGUUUCCACGUGGUUUUUGAAGUUCCAUUCAAUUCCGUCAGAAAAUAUCAUUUAAUUUUGGCAACAACUGAAGCCACUUGGGCAGAGAUCGAUGAUAAGAAAAAGGUUAAUGCUGAUGUAGAGUUUAUUUUGAUGAUCAAAGGAGCUCCAGAUGUUCUCAUAAAGAGUUGCUCAACAAUUAAUAUUGAUGGAGUUCCAAUGGAAUUGAAUGGAAAGAGAAUGGACGAUUUCAAUGAAGCUUACGAGACAUUCGGAGAUGAAGGUUGCCGUGUUAUUGGAUUUGCUUGUAAGAAAUUCCGUGCUCCAGCAACAUCCACUUUCUCUAUCAAAUCAAAUACUAUUCCAAUGGAUAACUGGGAUUUCUUGGGAAUGAGUGCUAUUAUGGAUCCACCAAGAGAUGAUACUCCACGAGCAAUUAAAGCUUGUAAGGAAGCUGGAAUCAAAGUUUACAUGGUCACAGGAGAUCACAAAUCAACUGCAACUGCAAUUGCUCGUCAAAUUGGAAUGAUCGACACUGAAGAAGUUACCAACUUGGAUCACAACCGUCAAGUGAUCAGACGAACAAAUUCACAAGAUUGGGCUGUUAUUACCGGACCAGAACUUCCUGGAUUAAGUGAAAAACAGUGGGAUGCACUUUUGGAACAUCGUUAUAUUGUCUUUGCAAGAACAACUCCAGAACACAAAUUGAUGAUUGUAACAGAAAGUCAGAAGAGAGGAGAAUGUGUAACAGUUACCGGAGAUGGAGUCAAUGAUGCUCCAGCUCUAAAGAAAGCCGACGUUGGAGUUGCUAUGGGUCUUGCCGGAAGUGAUGUUGCAAAACAAGCUGCCGAUAUUAUUCUUCUUGACGAUAACUUCUCCUCAAUCGUAGCUGGAAUUGAAGAAGGACGUCUUCUUUUCGACAAUCUCCGUAAAACUAUCGCUUAUACUAUGACUCACAUGUGGCCUGAACUCGUCCCAGUAAUGCUCAACUUCUUCUUCGGAUUUCCACUUGGAUUGACUCCAGUCCAAAUCCUCUCUAUUGAUCUUAUUACUGAUAUCCCACCAGCUGUAUCGCUUGCCUACGAAGGACCAGAAGCAGAUAUCAUGUUGCAGCCACCACGUAAAAGAGAGACACAUCUUGUCACAAAAGGGCUUAUCACUUACACGUACCUCUUCAUGUCAAUCUUCAUUUCGGUUGGAGGUGUCGUUGCAUAUCUUCUCUCAUAUUAUCUUAAUGGAAUCUACCCAUCGGAGCUUGCAUUCUCUUCAAACGACCAUUUCAAAGUUGGAGCAAGUAACUUCACUACAUACAACGGAGUCGUACUGAAUGCCGAGCAACAAGUCUUCAUGGCUGCUCAAGCAGCAGCAGCAUUCCAUAUUGCUGUAGUUGUUGGACAAGCAUGGCAUCUUUGGAUGUGUUUGACUCGUCGUGUUUCAAUCUUUGUUCACGGAAUGGCUAACAUUGUUGCUAUUCUUGCAGUCAUCAUUGAUCUUCUCCUCAUCUGUCUUUUCACAUUUGUUCCAGGAGUACAAUAUGUCUUCGGAUCCCAACCACCACCAUGGGAGGUAAGUAAAGCUCUGGAUUUCAAAACUUUAAUUUCUGUGAAUUGUAAACUCAAUAUUAUAUUAAUUUGAAUUUUUUAGUGCUGGCUUGUCCCAGUCAUUGUCGGAAUCUGGAUCUGGAUCUUCAACGAACUCCGCAAAUUCGGAAUUAGAAACUAUCCGAAAAACAAAUUGGUUCGAUUGGUCAAGUGGUGAUU
rnacentral:misc_RNA from 1 species